UAGCAUAUCAAUAAGCGGAGGAAAAGAAACUAACAAGGAUUCCCAUAGUAACUGCGAGUGAAGCGGGAAAAGCUCAAAUUUAAAAUCUGGCGGUCUUUGGCCGUCCGAGUUGUAGUCUGGAGAAGUGCUUUCCGCGCUGGACCGUGUAUAAGUCUCUUGGAACAGAGCGUCAUAGAGGGUGAGAAUCCCGUCUCUGACACGGACUACCAGUGCUUUGCGAUGCGCUCUCAAAGAGUCGAGUUGUUUGGGAAUGCAGCUCAAAAUGGGUGGUGAAUUCCAUCUAAAGCUAAAUAUUGGCGAGAGACCGAUAGCGAACAAGUACCGUGAGGGAAAGAUGAAAAGCACUUUGGAAAGAGAGUUAAACAGUACGUGAAAUUGCUGAAAGGGAAACGCUUGAAGUCAGUCGUGUCGUCCAGAACUCAGCCUUGCUCUCGCUUGGUGCAUUUUCUGGACGACGGGCCAGCAUCGAUUUUGACCGUCGGAAAAGGGCUGGGGUAAUGUGGCACCUCCGGGUGUGUUAUAGACUCCAGUCGCAUACGACGGUCGGGAUCGAGGUUUCGCAGCGCGCCGCAAGGCAGGGGUUCGCCCACUUUCGCGCUUAGGAUGCUGGCAUAAUGGCUUUAAACGACCCGUCUUGAAACACGGACCAAGGAGUCUAACAUACCUGCGAGUGUUUGGGUGGAAAACCCGAGCGCGUAAUGAAAGUGAAAGUUGGGACCUCUGUCGUGGAGGGCACCGACGCCCGGACCUGACGUUCUCUGACGGAUCCGCGGUAGAGCAUGUAUGUUGGGACCCGAAAGAUGGUGAACUAUGCCUGAAUAGGGUGAAGCCAGAGGAAACUCUGGUGGAGGCUCGUAGCGAUUCUGACGUGCAAAUCGAUCGUCAAAUUUGGGUAUAGGGGCGAAAGACUAAUCGAACCAUCUAGUAGCUGGUUCCUGCCG
rnacentral:rRNA from 1 species